AGUCUUUGCAGGCAGUUACCACAACCUUGGUAUGCUCACAUCAUGAAUAUAUCAAAAUCAGUCUUAAAGUCAUUACAGGCUUCAAUGGAUCUCUACCUUCAAAGCACUAUGGAGGGUAUGUAACAAUAGAUGAAAGUCAUGGUAAGAACUUGUAUUACUAUUUUGUUCAAUCAGAAGGCGAUUCAUCAAAGGACCCUAUUGUUCUAUGGCUGAAUGGUGGACCAGGAUGUUCUAGUUUUGAUGGUUUUGUAUAUGAACAUGGUUUCCAACAUUAUAUAUUUGGACUCACCCGUUGGAGUAGGAUUUUCGUAUUCGAAAAAUACAUCUCAGUACGAAACUGGAGAUGAAAAGACUGCGACUGAUUCACAUACUUUUCUCCUCAAA